CAGCCGCCGCGGGAACACGUAGGUGGCAAGCGUUGUCCGGAAUUAUUGGGCGUAAAGGGCUCGCAGGCGGUUUCUUAAGUCUGAUGUGAAAGCCCCCGGCUCAACCGGGGAGGGUCAUUGGAAACUGGGAAGCUUGAGUGCAGAAGAGGAGAGUGGAAUUCCACGUGUAGCGGUGAAAUGCGUAGAGAUGUGGAGGAACACCAGUGGCGAAGGCGACUCUCUGGUCUGUAACUGACGCUGAGGAGCGAAAGCGUGGGGAGCGAACAGGAUUAGAUACCCGUGUAGUCCCUGUCUCUUAUAC
rnacentral:rRNA from 1 species